GUAGUGACGUCAGCGAGGCGCGUGGAAGAGCGCGUGGGCGUGGCUUAGCCUGGGGCCCCUCCCUCCCUUUCUGUGCUCUCUCUGGGCCAAUCUGUCUAGUCAUGGCUGGGAGGAAAGGAGCCUCCUCCUUAAAGGGGCCGCGCCCAAUUUAUCCAAAGGGAAGAGGAAGCACGUGAAGCUGCAUCAUGCAAAGAUGGGGGGGCUGUUCUGCUGCAGCCAAACAGCAAAGGCUGAGCGUUCCCCAGAUGAGAUGGCAGGCAGCCUUGCAAGAGGAGGAGGCUGCAUCCACACUGGAGGAAUUUUAAUCCAGUUUGACCCCGCUUUAACUGCUCAUGGCUCAGUCCUGGGGAAUUCUGGGAAUGAAGUCGACAGGUGACUUGAAAGUGACAUACGCACACAUGCAGGAUAUCUUUGAGGGAUUCCCAUAUGUGCCGCAACAUGCAUCCAUGCGCUUUGCAUGGAUGAGAAGUGGUGCAAGGAUGAAGGGGGCUUAUCCUGGACAACCUUGACCAUCGGGACGUUCUUCCUAAUGUUGAGGUUAUUAGAGUCACAGGAAAAUAAUAAGAAGAGGAAAAAGGUAAUAGAUGAAGACGGAAUCCCAGUCAUCAACGGGAAAGGAAGUGUGAUUAAG